AAUCUUCCGCAAUGGACGAAAGUCUGACGGAGCAACGCCGCGUGAGUGAUGAAGGUCNNNGGAUCNUAAAACUCUGCUGUGAGNGAANAACAAGUAUCGUUAGAAUAGGGCGGUACCUUGACGGUACCUAACCAGAAAGCCACGGCUCACUACGUGCCAGCAGCCGCGGUAAUACGUAGGUUGCAAGCUUUAUUCGGAAUUAUUGCGCGAAAAGCGCGCGCAGGCGGUUUCUUAAGACUGAUGUCAAAGCCUACGGCUCAACCAUGGAGGGUCAUUGGAAACUGGGAAGAUUGAGUGAAGAUGAGGAGAGUGGAAUUCCAUGUGUAGCGGUGAAAUGCGUAGAGAUAUGGAGGAACACCAGUGGCGAAGGCGACUCUCUGGUCUGCAACUGACGCUGAGGCGCGAAAGCGUGGGGAGCGAACA
rnacentral:rRNA from 1 species